UACGUAGGGGCCUAGCGUUGUCCGGAUUUAUUGGGCGUAAAGAGCUCGUAGGCGGUUUGGUUAGUCAGGUGUGAAAUCUCCACGCUCAACGUGGAGGGCCACCUGAUACUGCCAUGACUUGAGUCCGGUAGGGAGUGUGGAAUUCCCGGUGUAGCGGUGAAUGACGCAGAUAUCAGGAAGAACACCGGUGGCGAAGGCGGCUCUCUGGGCCUUACCUGACACUCAGGAGCGAAAGCGUGGGAGCGAUCCGG
rnacentral:rRNA from 1 species